AAAAGUUUAAGAGCCGCAGUAUUUUGACUGUGCAAAGGUAGCAUAANCGUUUGUUUUUUAAUUGGAAUCUUGUAUGAAUGGUUGGACAAGAGAAAAACUGUCUUUAUAAGAAAAAUUGAAUUUAACUUUUAGAUGAAAAGGUCUAAAUAAAUUAAAGGGACGAUAAGACCCUAUAAAGCAUUUUGUUGGGGCGACAGAGGUAAAAUUAUUAACUACUUAAAUAAGAUUCAAAUAUAAGUGAAAAGAUCCUAGUUAAAGAUUUAAAGUUUAAGUUACUUUAGGGAUAACAGCGUUAUUUUUUUUGAGAGUACUUAUCGAGAAAAAAGUUUGCGACCUCGAUGUUGAAUUAAAAUAUCUUUAUAAUUGCAGAAGUUAUAAAAGAAGGUCUGUUCGACCUUUAAAUUUUU
rnacentral:rRNA from 1 species